UACGAAGGGGGGCUAGCGUUGCUCGGAAUCACUGGGCGUAAAGCGCACGUAGGCGGGUCGUUAAGUCGGGGGUGAAAUCCUGGAGCUCAACUCCAGAACUGCCUUCGAUACUGGCGAUCUUGAGUCUGGGAGAGGUGAGUGGAACUGCGAGUGUAGAGGUGAAAUUCGUAGAUAUUCGCAAGAACACCAGUGGCGAAGGCGGCUCACUGGUCCGGUACUGACGCUGAGGUGCGAAAGCGUGGGGAGCAAACAGG
rnacentral:rRNA from 1 species